AAAUUGAAGAGUUUGAUCAUGGCUCAGAUUGAACGCUGGCGGCAGGCCUAACACAUGCAAGUCGGACGGUAACAGGAAGCAGCUUGCUGCUUUGCUGACGAGUGGCGGACGGGUGAGUAAUGUCUGGGAAACUGCCUGAUGGAGGGGGAUAACUACUGGAAACGGUGGCUAAUACCGCAUAACGUCGCAAGACCA
rnacentral:rRNA from 1 species